AUGGAAGAUCUUCCUCUCUCUGUUCCUUUUCUCUGGUGGGAUGUACCACGGGGACAUGACUGAAAAGCUCAAGGUGCUCUACAAGCUGCACCUUCCCCCAGGUGAGCACGUGCCCCCACACCCCUGGAUUGUAUGAGGCACUGAUUGCACUUUAACCUGAAAGACACUGGGUGUUUACAAACUCACCUAAGAAUCAGAAA